GAUGAACGCUAGCUACAGGCUUAACACAUGCAAGUCGAGGGGCAGCAUGACGAUAGCUUGCUAUUGUCGAUGGCGACCGGCGCACGGGUGAGUAACGCGUAUCCAACCUUCCCGUUGCUAGGGGAUAACCUUGCGAAAGUAAGACUAAUACCCCUAUGAAGUUCUUCGCAGGCAUCUAAAGAGAACGAAAGAUUUAUCGGCAACGGAUGGGGAUGCGUCUGAUUAGGUUGUUGGCGGGGUAACGGCCCACCAAGCCCACGAUCAGUAGGGGUUCUGAGAGGAAGGUCCCCCCACAUUGGAACUGAGACACGGUCCAAACUCCUACGGGAGGCAGCAGUGAGGAAUAUUGGUCAAUGGACGGAAGUCUGAACCAGCCAAGUAGCGUGCAGGAUGACGGCCCUAUGGGUUGUAAACUGCUUUUAUAGGGAAUAAAGUGAGUCUCGUGAGACUUUUUGCAUGUACCUUAUGAAUAAGGACCGGCUAAUUCCGUGCCAGCAGCC
rnacentral:rRNA from 1 species